UACGUAGGGGGCAAGCGUUGUCCGGAUUUAUUGGGCGUAAAGCGCGUGUAGGCGGCCCGCAUAGUCUGGUGUGAAAUCUUGCGGCUCAACCGCAAGCGGUCACUGGAAACUGCCUCGCUAGAGUCCGGAAGAGGAGAGCGGAAUUCCUGGUGUAGCGGUGGAAUGCGCAGAUAUCAGGAAGAACACCCGUGGCGAAGGCGGCUCUCUGGGACGGUACUGACGCUGAGACGCGAAAAGCGUGGGGAGCGAACAGG
rnacentral:rRNA from 1 species